GGGGCUGUAGCUCAGCCGGCAGAGCGCUUGCAUGGCAUGCAAGAGGUCACGGGUUCAAAUCCCGUCAGCUCC
rnacentral:tRNA from 1 species